GACUUAAUGCGCCUAGCCCGACAAGGUUACUUGUUGUGUGCUGGGUCGUGUUUGUCAUCCAUCUAGAAAAUGUUGUUGCGCUUCAUUGCGUUGACAGCACUAUCUAGAUCUUUUACUUUGAAAAAAUUAGAGUGUUCAAGGCAAGCGUUUGCUUGAAUAUUGCAGCUGGGAAUAAUAACAAAGGCUUCGGGCCAUGUUGUUGGUUUCACGGACUGAAGA
rnacentral:rRNA from 1 species